rnacentral:rRNA from 1 species
AGCAGCCGCGGUAAUUCCAGCUCCAAUAGCGUAUAUUAAAGUUGUUGCAGUUAAAAAAGCUCGUAGUUGAAUUUCGGGAUCAAUAUGUUGGUCGUGCCUUGGUACGUACUAGUUUAUUGGUUUCUUCCUUCUGACGAACCAUGAUGUCAUUAAUUUGGUGUCUUGGGGAAUCAGGACUGUUACUUUGAAAAAAUUAGAGUGUUUAAAGCAGGCUCACGCUUGAAUACAUUAGCAUGGAAUAAUGAAAUAGGACGUUUGAUUCUAUUUUGUUGGUUUCUAGGAUCGACGUAAUGAUUAAUAGGGAUAGUUGGGGGCAUUAGUAUUCAAUUGUCAGAGGUGAAAUUCUUGGAUUUAUUGAAGACUAACUACUGCGAAAGCAUUUGCCAAGGAUGUUUUCAUUAAUCAAGAACGAAAGUUAGGGGAUCGAAGACGAUCAGAUACCGUCGUAGUCUUAACCAUAAACUAUGCCGACUAGGGAUCGGGAUGAUGUUAAUUUUUAAUGACUCAUUCGGCGCCUUAC